rnacentral:ncRNA from 1 species
AUCUUCGGGGUCGGGUGAAAGUCCCAACCGGCGGUUACAGUCCGCGACCCGGAAUCUGCCAGGAGCAGAGGAAGGCUGAUUUGGUGAAAUUCCAAAACCGACAGUAAAGUCUGGAUGAGAGAAGAA